rnacentral:rRNA from 1 species
UYAGAUGUUCGGGGCCGCACGCGCGCUACAAUGAAGGGWUCAGCGUGUGUUCUCCCGUUCCGGGAGGAUCGGGUAAACCGUUGAACGCCCUUCGUGACUGGGAUAGGGGCUUGGAACUGUUGCCCUUGAACGAGGAAUUCCUAGUAAGUGCGAGUCACCACCUCGUGCUGAUUACGUCCCUGCCCUUUGUACUCAUCGCCCGUCGCUASUACCGAUYGAACGGUUCAGUGAGGUCAUCGGACUGUUGCUCGGAAACGCCCUCGCGGCCGAUCCGACGCGACGGAAAGACGACCGAACUCSAYCGUUUAGAGGAASUAAAAGUCGUAACAARGUUUCC